GUUUUGAAAUAAAAUACAGUUCGACAGUUCGUCAAAAAGACUCAAAUUCUUCGAAAUUUAGAGUUAUUUCUUUUAAAUUAACAAGAAGAAAAGCCUUUUGUUGUGGUGAGAAGAGAAAAACGUGAAUCAAAUCAUGUCUGAUCAGCGUGAAGAGAGGCGUAAAAGAGCACACACUAGCGGGAAACCUUUAAAUGAAUGCGAUGUUUCUAAGAAGAAAUUUAGAAUAUCUGGCGAUUUGGCAAAACAUAAGAGAACACACACAGGGGACAAGCCUUAUGAAUGUGAUGUCUGUAAGAAGAGAUUUAGACAAUCAGGUAAUUUAACUAUACACAAAAGAACACACACUGGGGACAAGCCUUAUGAAUGUGAUGUUUGUAAGAAGAAAUUUAAAAGAUCAGAUCAUUUGGCAAAACAUAAGAGAACACACACAGGGGACAAGCCUUAUGAAUGUGAUGUUUGUAAGAAGAGAUUUAAAAGAUCAGAUCAUUUGGCAAAACAUAAGAGAACACAUACAGGGGACAAGCCUUAUGAAUGUGAUGUCUGUAAGAAGAGAUUUAGACAAUCAGGUAAUUUAGCUAUACACAAAAGAACACACACUGCAGACAAGCCUUAUGAAUGUGAUGUUUGUAAAAAGAAAUUUGGAGAAUCUCACGAUUUAACUGUACAUAAGAGAACACACACUGGAGAUAAACCUUAUGAAUGUGAUGUUUGUAAUAAGAAAUUUGCACAAUCAGGUAAUUUAGCAACACAUAAACGAACACACACUGGAGACAAACCUUAUGAAUGUGAUGUUUGUAAGAAACGAUUUAGACAAUCAAGUAAUUUAGCUUUCCAUAAACAAACACACACUGGAGAGAAACCUUAUGAAUGUGAUGUUUGUAAGAAGAAAUUUAGACAAUCAAGUGAUUUAGCUUUCCAUGAACAAACACACACUGGAGAGAAACCUUAUGAAUGUGAUGUUUGUAAGAAGAAAUUUAGACAAUCAAGUGAUUUAGCUUUCCAUGAACAAACACACACUGGAGAGAAACCUUAUGAAUGUGAUGCUUGUAAGAAGAAAUUUAAAAGAUCAGAUGUUUUGGCAAAACAUAAGAGAACACACACUGGAGAGAAACCUUAUGAAUGUGAUGUUUGUAAGAAGAAAUUUGCGAGAUCAGAUGAUUUGGUGACACAUAAACGAACACACACUGGAGACAAACCUUAUGAAUGUGAUGUUUGUAAAAAACGAUUUUCCCAAUCAAGUAGUUUUACAAGACAUAUUAAGAGAAAACACACAGGAGGCAAGCCUUAUGAAUGUGAUGUUUGUAAAAAACGAUUUCCCCAAUCAAGUAAUUUAGCAAAACAUAAAAUAACACACCACACUGCAGAUGCAGAGAAGCCUUAUGAAUGUGAUGUUUGUAAGAAGAAAUUUAGAAAAUCUCACGAUUUAGCUGUACAUAAGAGGACACACACUGGAGAUAGACCUUAUGAAUGUGAUGUUUGUAAGAAGAAAUUUGCACAAUCAAGUAAUUUAGCAACACAUAAACGAACACACACUGGAGACAAGCCUUAUGAAUGUGAUGUUUGUAAGAAGAGAUUUAGACAAUCAAGUAAUUUAACUUUCCAUAAACAAACACACACAGGGGACAAACCUUAUGAAUGUGAUGUUUGUAAGAAGAAAUUUAAAAAAGUAGAUCAUUUGGUCAACCAUAAGAGAAUACACAGUGGAGAGAAACCUUAUGAAUGUGAUGUUUGUAGGAUGAGAUUUACGGGAUCAAGUAAUUUAGCUGCACAUAAAAGAACACAUACUGGAGACAAACCUUAUGAAUGUGAUGUUUGUAAGAAGAAAUUUAAACAUUCAGGUAGUCUAACUACACACAAAAGAAAACACACUGGAGACGAACCGUAUGAAUGUGAGGUUUGCAAGAAGAGAUUUAGACUAUCGGGAAGUCUUAAUUAUCACAAAAUGGGGCAUUUGUUUUGCAACAGUUGCCAGAGGGAGAUUAUUGAACCAGAAAAUUUGCAAGAACAUUUUGUUCAAGAUGAAAACAUUGGAAAGUACACUUGUCAGAAAUGUAAGAAGGGAUUUUCUAAUUUUAUCAAAUUGGUUCAACAUAUAGCAAGGCAACAUGGCAAUGAUGGAAACUAUCAAUGUGGUUUAUGUCAAGAACUUAAAUCAAAAGAACCAACUGGUAUUGGAUAUGUUUGUUGUGUGUGUGAUGUUGUGUUUGAUAUUCCCAGAGAUCUUGAAGAUCACAUGACCACCCAUGACUCAAUGUGAAUAUUGUUGCCAGCUUUGAGUAUAUACCUGCAGCGAGUACAUUCAGAUUCCAGUUUAGUUUUAUAUGAAAUAUACAUUGGCAUUUGUAUCCGACUAGUUGUUUAUAUUUCUCAUGCCUAUUACUUACUGUGAUGUAAGCUAAUGUAGAUCACUACAUAGGCAGAGGUUAGUCUCAACCUCAUUCCCAGGGUCUGAUCCUGGGUACGAGGUUGAGAUUAGUCUAUGUUCCUGGUGUUAAAUGUCUAAAUUAUAAAAAGUAGGAUGUAGAAUGUAUAGAGGGGAAAUUCUUUUCUAUAAAUUCUAUUGACAAGGCUUUUAGCCAGGGCAGAGAUAUUGUUUUAGUUAGUUUUAUUAUUUAUUUUAGGGGUUGGGUGCAGUGGUGCCUAAAUGACUUUGAAUUUAUACUCGAGUAAAAGUAAAAGUAGAAGUAAUUAACAAUAAAACGACCUGAGUAAGAGUAAAAAGUACUGGAGG